CAGGGUAUGUUGUAGUGGAUAUCAAGUCAGUUUGCGGAACUGUCAACCCGGGUUCGAAUCCCGGUACCCUGG
rnacentral:tRNA from 1 species